AACGUAGGACGCAAGCGUUAUCCGGAGUUACUGGGCGUAAAGCGCGGGCAGGCGGCUCGAAACGUCUGAUGUGAAAUCUCCUCGCUCAACGGGGAGAGGCCAUUGGAAACGGUCGAGCUGGAGGGCAGUAGAGGUAGGCGGAAUUCCGGGUGGAGUGGUGAAAUGCGUAGAGAUCCGGAGGAACACCAGAGGCGAAGGCGGCCUACUGGGCUGCACCUGACGCUGAGCCGCGAAAGCGUGGGGAGCAAACAGG
rnacentral:rRNA from 1 species